rnacentral:misc_RNA from 1 species
GGCUUUCACUCUGUACAAAGAUUUUAGAAUUUUAAAGAUAUUAUUUGAAUUUAAAGAGGAAACCCUUCUCUUCCUUGGGGCUUCUGUAUUGUCGGAGGAAAAGACCAGGGUUUAACUGUGAAGAUUGGGAAUGUGAAGAGAAAUACCCCUGCGUCUAGAGCAGGGCUUCAUAAAAUGGAUUAUCUAAUCUCGAUAAAUGGAAAAGCUGUGUUUAACCUGACACAUGGAGAAUGUGUGAGAGAUAUUAAAUCUUCAGCUCAACACCUGGUUCUGGAGUGUGAAAGAGGAGAUCAUAUAGUUCCUAGUUUUGAGGAAAUGUUUCCUGGAUUAAGAUCCGGAGAUAAUGAUCCUGAAACCACGAGUAGGAAGAAGCAUAUCGGAGACGACUACUACAAUGAUGCUAUGCAGAACCAUGGACUAGGACAUCUUCCACAACCAAACAAUUUUACAACAGUUGGAAAUAAUCUUGGUAUAGAGAUUAAUCAGUACAAUUGUCCUAUAGAGGCGUACAGCGAGCAGUCAAUAGAGGAGAUGAAAGGAAUGAAAGAAAAGGGAGGUUUAGAGAUUGCAGGUCGUUUACCUGUAGUAGCCCAGGAUAGGUUCAAGUUUGAUCCAAACCGUAGCAAUGCCAUCAAGGUUAUAAAUCAGAUGGAAGGAGGGGAUGGUCGAUCUGCUUAAUCUCAUAACUAUCAGUUCUUUUUACUACAUCCAUAUUCGUGGUACCAUUAUAGGAAACUAACCUUUUCCUAACUUUAGACCUCUCCGUUUCCAUAGGAUUCUAUUCCAUGUACUGCAGUCAGGUCUACGGUUCCAUAGGAUCCUAUUCCAUGUACUGCAGUCAGGGAUGGGCAAAUAGCUAGAUUCGUUUUACAGAAACUUUUAAGAUUUUUAGACUUUUAAAAGGUUUUACGGCAAUCUGAGAAGGUUCCAACAUUUUAAAAUUGUAUUGUAUAGAAGUCUGCUUUUUUCAAACAUGUAAUUUUCAAGGCAAAAACAAACUAAAAACGAUAGUUUUUGCCCUAUAUUUUCUUUGAUAAAAGCAAACUUCUACAGAAUAUAAUUUUAAAAUUUUGGAAUCUAGCUAUUGCCCAUCCCCAACUGCAGUUAGGUCUAAAAUUCCAUAGGAUCCUGUUCAUGUACUACAGUCAGGUCUACGGUUCCAUAGGAUCAUAUUCCAUGUAAUGCAGUCAGGUCUACGGUUCCAUAGGAUCCUAUUCCAUGUAAUGUAAUGCAGUCAGGUCUACGGUUCCAUAGGAUCCUAUUCAUGUACUGCAGUUAGGUCUAAGGUUCCACAGGAUCCUAUUCAUGUACUGCAGUCAGGUCUACGGUUCCAUAGGAUCCUAUUCAUGUACUGCAGUUAGGUCUAAGGUUCCAUAAGAUACUAUUCCAUGUACUUCAGUUAGGUCUACGGUUCCAUAGGAUCCUAUUCAUGUACUGCAGUUAGGUCUAAGGUUCCAUAGGAUCCUAUUCCAUGUAAUGCAGUAAGGUUCCAUAGGAUCCUUUUCAUGUACUUCAGUUAAGUCUAAGGUUCCACAGAAUCCUAUUCCAUGUAAUGUAGUUAGGUUUAAUAUUCCAUAGGAUCCAAUUCCAUGUACUGCAGUUAGGUCCAGGGUUCUAUAGAAUCCUAUUUCAUGUACUGAUUUAGUUAGGUCUACGGUUCCAUUGGAUCUUAUUCCAUGUACUACAGUUAGGUCUAAGGUUCCAUAGGAUCCUAGUCCAUGCACUGCAAUUAGGUCUAAGGCCAGUUCUAUUGGAUCCACUUACAUGUACUGAAGCUAGGUUCUAUAGGAUCCUAUUAAUUUAAUGCAGUUAGAUCUAAGGUUCCAUAGAAUCCUAUUCCAUAGGAUCCAUAGAAUCCUAUUCCAUAGGAUACUAUUAAAUGUACUGCAGUCAGGUCCAAGGUUCUAUAGGUUCUUAUUCCAUGUACUAUAGUUGGGUUCUAUCUUCAAGUUUUAUUGGAUACUAUUCUAUGAACUGCGGUUGGUUCUAUUGGAUACAAUUCCAUGUACUGUAGUUGGGGUCUAUCUUCUAGUUUUAUUGGAUACUGUUCUAUGAAGUGCUGUUGGGUUUUAUUGGAUACUAUUCCAUGUACUGUAGUUGGAGUUUAUCUUCUAGUUUUAUUGGAUACCAUUCUAUGAACUGCAGUUGGGUUCUAUCGGAUACUAUUCCAUGUACUGUAGUUGGAUAUAUGGUUCUCCUAAAGAAUAUGUGUACCUGUAUUUACUAACAUUCCAUUUAUUUUAACAAAAUCCUUUUACUUCUAUUACCCUGGAAAUAAAUAAAGCGCAUAGAGAUUAUCCCACAUAGAGUUCAUGAUAUAUCAUAAAUAAAUGUUUUUCUUGUGGAUGAAAAAAAAAUACAAGUUUUCCAAUAAAGAUUUAAUAAAUUCA